UACGGGGGGGGGGCAAGCGUUGUUCGGAAUUACUGGGCGUAAAGGGCCAGUAGGCGGCCAACUAAGUCGGAUGUGAAAUCCCCAGGCUCAACCUGGGAACUGCAUCCGAUACUGGCGGGCUUGAAUCCGGGAGAGGGAUGUGGAAUUCCAGGUGUAGCGGUGAAAUGCGUAGAUAUCUGGAGGAACACCGGUGGCGAAGGCGGCAUCCUGGACCGGUAUUGACGCUGAGGCGCGAAAGCUAGGGGAGCAAACGGG
rnacentral:rRNA from 1 species